AUGACCUGGACAGCCUUUUUCCUCAGCCUCCUGGCUCAUUACACAGGCUCUGUAGCUUCUUAUGUGCUGACUCAGCCAUCAUCAGUAUCAGUGACCCCAGGACAAACGGCCAGAAUCACCUGUGGAGGCAACAAUAUUGGUAGUAAAAGUGUGUACUGGUACCAGCAGAAGCCAGCACAGUCCCCGCUGCUCAUCAUCUACAGAGAUAGCAAUCGGCCCUCAGGGAUCCCUGACCGAUUCUCUGGCUCCAACUCUGGGAACACAGCCACCCUGACCAUCAGUGGGGCCCAGGCUGGAGACGAGGCUGACUAUUACUGUCAGGUGUGGGAUGGUAAUGCUGCAUUUAUUUUUCUGGGUGGUGGGAGCAGGCUUCUUGUGCAGAGAAUGGAAAAAGGAAGUUCCCAGUUAGAAARUUUCUGGGCCCAGUCUGCUCUGACUCAGCCUCCCUCUGUCUCUGGAACUCCUGGACAGUCAGUCACCAUCUCCUGUGCUGGAACCAGCAGUGACAUUGGGAAAUAUAAUGAAGUCUCCUGGUACCAAAAUCGUCCAGGAACAACCCAUAAACUCAUGAUUUAUGGUGUUAGUAGUAGGCCCUCAGGGAUCCCUGAUCGCUUCUCUGGCUCCAAGUCUGGCAACACAGCCUCUCUGACCAUCUCUGGGCUGCAGCUGGAGGAUGAGGCUGAUUACUACUGCUGUUCAUAUGCAGGCAAUUACAAUUACCACAGUGGGCCAAGUUGA